GAUACUUUUCCAACAGGUACUCGUCACAGCCACACACCUGAGGAGAUAGUGUGUGUGUGUGAGUCAGACGGCCACGAGGCGGAGCUGCUGAGGGGAAAGGUGCAUGGACCUGCUCUUCUUCCUGAUGGACUCUGCUAUCAGCUGCUCGGGAAGGCUAUCGUGGCUCACCUGUGCACGCAAAAGUAUAUCUUUCAGCUUGCUGUAGAUGUGCUGUGGGAGUUGGGGGCUGGACUCGACAUUUGGGGGAUAAACGUAGAGCGCUUGGCUGUGGGCGCCGCCCCCCUCCCGCUCCUCCAUGGCCUCCCUGCACACGCCCAAUAUGGCACGACGGAAGUCUUGAAUCUCUGGGUCCUUCAUCAUCUCAAACUCGCAGACUGGCAUCCCGAUGGCGAAUCCUUAAUGUCCGACAGUAAAGGCCGCAGUGCCCGAUAACGGCCGUACCUGGAGAAGGUGGUAAAGGGGAUACUUCCUGGCCUCUGUGAAGAGCUGCUGUUUGAUGCUGAUGAGAGGAGUUUCUCGAAGACACUCCAGGCUCACCAUCAUCCCUGCGAACAACACAACACCGCCGACAUUGUAAUCUGUGUCGGAUUGGAAUAAGAAACAGUUUCUUCAAGUCUGUGAAAGUCCUUACAAGUCUCCUAUUUCCCCUGAUGAUGUUGAGGGUGCCAUGGCA